rnacentral:lncRNA from 1 species
CAGACCAUCCAUUCUCUCCUUUGCUGGCCUUGAUGAAAUAAUCUACCAUAGAGACCUCUGUGGCAAAGAACUAGGAGCCGACUCCAGCUAAGAGCAGCAGGGAAGUAAGGCCUGUAUUCUGAUAACCCACAAGGAACUGAAUCCUGCUGACAACCAUGUCCAACUCAGAGGCUUCACCCCACAAUGAACCACAUUUCUUCAGCACUCUCAUAGCAUUGGCUUCAUCACAAUCUGCCUCAUCUCAGAAUAACAGCAUUCAGAAAAUAUGAAGAAAAAGAAGGGAGGGAAGGAUGGAUGGGCAGAGGUAUUCCUAGCACCAUUGGAAUUGUUAAGAGACAGUAGAGGCCAGAUGACUGGAGUGAGCAAAUGACAAAAGAAACUUCACCUAUGGCCAGCCGAAGUCAGAAGACCCGGGCCAUCUGGUCUGCUCUUGUUUUGGGGUUGCCACGGAAGCCCUCUUGCAGAAUUGCUCUGUGAGUGGCAAGAAGUGUCACUAAAAAAUAGAAAAUAAAGGCUGCAGAUUGUCAUGUUUGUAAAAAGCAAUCAUGUUAGCACAAGUCUUUGCCUGUUCUGUCGCCUCCCC